CCUACGGGUGGCAGCAGUGAGGAAUAUUGGUCAAUGGGCGCGAGCCUGAACCAGCCAAGUAGCGUGAAGGAUGACUGCCCUACGGGUUGUAAACUUCUUUUAUAAAGGAAUAAAGUGAGGCACGUGUGCCUUUUUGUAUGUACUUUAUGAAUAAGGAACGGCUAACUCGGUGCCAGCAGCCGCGGUAAUACGGAGGAUCCGGGCGUUAUCCGGAUUUAUUGGGUUUAAAGGGAGCGUAGGUGGGUUGUUAAGUCAGUUGUGAAAGUUUGGGGCUCAACCGGGAAAUUGCAAUUGAUACUGGCAGUCUUGAGUACAGUUGAGGUGGGGGGAAUUCGUGGUGUAGCGGUGAAAUGCGUAGAGA
rnacentral:rRNA from 1 species